GAACGCUGGCGGCAGGCCUAACACAUGCAAGUCGAACGGUAACAGGAAGRAGCUUGCUUCUUUKCUGACGAGUGGCGGACGGGUGAGUAAUGUCUGGGAAACUGCCUGAUGGAGGGGGAUAACUACUGGAAACGGUAGCUAAUACCGCAUAACGUCGCAAGACCAAAGAGGGGGACCUUCGGGCCUCUUGCCAUCGGAUGUGCCCAGAUGGGAUUAGCUAGUAGGUGGGGUAACGGCUCACCAAGGCGACGAUCCCUAGCUGGUCUGAGAGGAUGACCAGCCACACUGGAACUGAGACACGGUCCAGACUCCUACGGGAGGCAGCAGUGGGGAAUAUUGCACAAUGGGCGCAAGCCUGAUGCAGCCAUGCCGCGUGUAUGAAGAAGGCCUUCGGGUUGUAAAGUACUUUCAGCGGGGAGGAAGGGAGUAAAGUUAAUACCUUGCUCAUGACGUA
rnacentral:rRNA from 1 species